CCUACGGGUGGCAGCAGUGAGGAAUAUUGGUCAAUGGGCGCGAGCCUGAACCAGCCAAGUAGCGUGAAGGAUGACUGCCCUACGUGUUGUAAACUUCUUUUAUAAAGGAAUAAAGUGAGGCACGUGUGCCAUUUUGUAUGUACUUUAUGAAUAAGGAUCGGCUAACUCCGUGCCAGCAGCCGCGGUAAUACGGAGGGUCCGAGCGUUAUCCGGAUUUAUUGGGUUUAAAGGGAGCGUAGAUGGUUUGUUAAGUCAGUUGUGAAAGUUUGCGGCUCAACCGUAAAAUUGCAAUUGAUACUGGCAGGCUUGAGUACAGUAGAGGUAGGUGGAAUUCGUGGUGUAGCGGUGAAAUGCUUAGAUAUCACGAAGAACUCCGAUUGCGAAGGCAGCUUACUAAACUGCCACUGACAUUGAGGCUCGAAAGUGUGGGUAUCAAACAGGAUUAGAUACCCCUGUAGUC
rnacentral:rRNA from 1 species